rnacentral:sRNA from 1 species
UGGUAAAACAGUUCUUAAAACAGCAUGAAAUCGCCUUUGAAGAACUUUAAUUUGUUGCUUUACUUUUCCAAAGCGUUAUGCUAUUCUAAGCUUAGUUGCAUAGCAACAUAAAUAUAUUGGAGGUACUUUCGAUGAACAAAGGUACAGUUAAAUGGUUCAACAACCAGAAGGGUUACGGAUUCAUCACCGCUGAAGACGGACAUGAUGUAUUCGUACAUUAUUCAGGACUUAACAUGGAGGGUUUUAAAUCUCUCGAAGAAGGAGCUGCAGUAGAGUUCGAUAUUACUGAUGGCGCUAAAGGUCCUCAGGCAGUUAACGUAGUAGUAGUUAAAUAAUUGCCUUAUAAUCAAGUU